rnacentral:rRNA from 1 species
ACGGGUGAGUAAUAUAUCGGAACGUGCCCAGUCGUGGGGGAUAACUGCUCGAAAGAGCAGCUAAUACCGCAUACGACCUGAGGGUGAAAGCGGGGGAUCGCAAGACCUCGCGCGAUUGGAGCGGCCGAUAUCAGAUUAGGUAGUUGGUGGGGUAAAAGCCUACCAAGCCAACGAUCUGUAGCUGGUCUGAGAGGACGACCAGCCACACUGGGACUGAGACACGGCCCAGACUCCUACGGGAGGCAGCAGUGGGGAAUUUUGGACAAUGGGCGCAAGCCUGAUCCAGCCAUGCCGCGUGCGGGAAGAAGGCCUUCGGGUUGUAAACCGCUUUUGUCAGGGAAGAAAAGGGUGUUUCUAAUACAGACGCCUCAUGACGGUACCUGAAGAAUAAGCACCGGCUAACUACGUGCCAGCAGCCGCGGUAAUACGUAGGGUGCAAGCGUUAAUCGGAAUUACUGGGCGUAAAGCGUGCGCAGGCGGUUAUGCAAGACAGAGGUGAAAUCCCCGGGCUCAACCUGGGAACUGCCUUUGUGACUGCAUAGCUAGAGUACGGUAGAGGGGGAUGGAAUUCCGCGUGUAGCAGUGAAAUG